rnacentral:rRNA from 1 species
CCAGACUCCUACGGGAGGCAGCAGUAGGGAAUCUUCGGCAAUGGGGGCAACCCUGACCGAGCAACGCCGCGUGAGUGAAGAAGGUUUUCGGAUCGUAAAGCUCUGUUGUAAGAGAAGAACGAGUGUGAGAGUGGAAAGUUCACACUGUGACGGUAUCUUACCAGAAAGGGACGGCUAACUACGUGCCAGCAGCCGCGGUAAUACGUAGGUCCCGAGCGUUGUCCGGAUUUAUUGGGCGUAAAGCGAGCGCAGGCGGUUAGAUAAGUCUGAAGUUAAAGGCUGUGGCUUAACCAUAGUACGCUUUGGAAACUGUUUAACUUGAGUGCAAGAGGGGAGAGUGGAAUUCCAUGUGUAGCGGUGAAAUGCGUAGAUAUAUGGAGGAACACCGGUGGCGAAAGCGGCUCUCUGGCUUGUAACUGACGCUGAGGCUCGAAAGCGUGGGGAGCAAACAGGAUUAGAUACCCUGGUAGUCCACGCCGUAAACGAUGAGUGCUAGGUGUUAGACCCUUUCCGGGGUUUAGUGCCGCAGCUAACGCAUUAAGCACUCCGCCUGGGGAGUACGACCGCAAGGUUGAAACUCAAAGGAAUUGACGGGGGCCCGCACAAG